ACGAACAGUUGGAAACGACUGCUAAUACCGCAUACGAUCUAAUCUCGGCAUCGAGGAUAGAUGAAAGGUGGCCUCUACAUGUAAGCUAUCACUGAAGGAGGGGGAGUUGCGUCUGAUUAGCUAGUUGGAGGGGGUAACGGGCCCACCCAAGGCGAUGAUCAGUAGCCGGUCUGAGAGGAUGAACGGCCACAUUGGGACUGAGACACGGCCCAGACUCCUACGGGAGGCAGCAUG
rnacentral:rRNA from 1 species